CUAAAUCAGCCAACAAUGGCUGCAAGUCUAACCGGCUUGUAACAGAUUUGUUCUCAGAUCAAAGUCAUCAGAGUAGAGCAUGUGUACGCUGACCCCCGGCAUGGCGUGCACAGCUGCAGGUCUCUGCGCUGAGGCUGAACCAGGCAGAUGGAUUAGCCGUGAAGAGGCACCCCUGGAACCUGCUCACCCCAAGACCACCAAAACACCUCGCUCACACUUCUCUCGAGACCCUCAUCAAGCUUUGCCCUUGAUAACAAUGAGACAGGCGUGAGAUUUAUUAGCAGGGGAGGACAUCAUAGCUGCAGAUGAGUGCAGUACCCACAGAGGCCAGAAGAGGGUAUCAGAUGUCCCUGGAACUGGGGCCACAGGAAGUUGUGUGCCAUCAUGUGGGUCCCAAGAACCAAACUCAGGUCCUCUGCAAGAACAGAAAGUGCUUUUAACCCCUGAGCCAUCUCGUCUCACCAACCUCAAGAAACACGGCUGCCUUGUCUGGCCUCAGUGGGAGAGGAUGCACUUAGUCCUGCAGAGACAUGAUUCACCAGGGUGGGGG